CGCAACCAGACAUUUUGUCGGUUCUUGUGAGGAUCUAAGCGCUAGGGGGCUCUUGAAUGCUUGGUCUGGACCGAGGGUGGAGGAAUCGGGAAGACGCGUGAGUAGGCGUUGUCCCCGCCGCUCGGAGGCGAGACAAAGUUCGGCGGUGGCGACGCCUGCCUUGACCCUGCCGCCGGGGCAGGGCUUGGGACCGCGGUAUCCAGGUCCUCAAUCCGGAUGCCUGCCUCUCCCGGCGCACUCCGCCCACAGACCCCGAUGGCGGCGGCCGCGCUGAGGGAACCCCCUCAGGGUUUAGUGCUCACUUUGGACCCCAGUAUCAAGUGGUGGAAUCCUGUUGGAGACUGGAUCUGAAAUGAGGGGACUGAAGCUUGGAGAAGUGAGGCUUUCUGCAUAAGGUACUAUAAUCAGUAAUGGGGUUACCAGCUGCAAACCCAGGUAAGCCUCCCCCUAGAGCUCAGCCUGUGAAGUCAGACACUGGACACCAUGUGCUAGACUGCAUUGAAUUUGAAGCCAAACACAACAUGAUUGGUUCUAAUGCAAGUUCAAAGAUUGUGAAUUUGAAAGUAAGAUAUAGAAGAAUUAUGCUACAACCCUAUGCUGUACUUAAUCCUGAGGGAAAAAUUUGGGGUUUUUAGAUUAUUUAUUUAUUUAUUUUAUUUUGGCUGCAUCGGGUCUUAGUUGUGGCAUGUGGGAUCUUUCAUUGCGGCGUGUGGGUUUCUCUCUAUUUGU